rnacentral:rRNA from 1 species
UACGGGGGGGGCAAGCGUUGUUCGGAAUUACUGGGCGUAAAGGGCUCGUAGGUUGCCAACUAAGUCGGACGUGAAAUCCCUCAGCUUAACUGGGGAACUGCGUCCGAUACUGGAUGGCUUGAGUUUGGGAGAGGGAUGCGGAAUUCCUGGUGUAGCGGUGAAAUGCGCAGAUAUCAGGAGGAACACCGGUGGCGAAGGCGGUUCUCUGGGCAUUACCUGACGCUGAGGAGCGAAAGCGUGGGGAGCAAACAGG